UGCUGCCAAAUAUUAACAUCCCAUAUUUAAUUAAUUCCCAUGGAGAAAGAACUAUUCUGCCCUACAAAGCCUAACUGCAGUAACUACGCAAAGGGUAAAACUGAGAAAAAUGGCUUUAAAGUAUUUUAACUGGCCAGCCAAAUGGGUUAUAGGUAUAUCAUUGAUAUUGCACUAAUUGUACAUGUAUUCAUGAGGUAAUUUUUAUGCC